ACUUUAAUAGUGUCAUUUAAGCAACUGAGUUUGUGGUGAUUUGUUACAGUGGCCAUAGGAAUGCCUGCAAUGCCCGUUCACAGGCCGGGUGGCUGAGGCUCCUUGCAAGGCCCCCAGGCAGUAAGCGGGGAGCCAGGGUGUAAGCAGAGGCUGGUUGGCUCCACAGCCCGCGCGCUCUCCCUGACUCACCCGGGCAUCUCCGUGUCCCAGGGCUGGCGCAGGUCUCCACGUGCAUCGACAGAGCCACCCUGGGCCAAGCGGGCCCUGCUCAGAGACUCGCAGCCCUCGGAAGGCGCAGUCUUCCAGGGCGCACACUCCGGCCUCGGAGCAGCCUCCAUGGCAGUCUGCCAUGGGUGUCCACCUCUGUAAGUCAGGCUGUGCUGCCUCUGUGGCCCGCCAGGGUUUGCACAGAGGACUGGGGUGCUGGCAACCCAACACCACACAGCAUUCCUCCUGGCUGGAGAUGCUAACUCUGGCCAAACUCCCAGCCACACCACCGCCAGGCUGACGCAGUUAAAACAAACACGGCGGUUUCUGGCGGACCUUUUACUCCAUUAUCAGGCGUUGGACGCCAGCCCCUGAGAGCUCUCCUAAGUAUUUCUUCCAAUUGAGGAGAGUGAUGUCAGCCUGGGGAACAGCAUGUACUGGAAAUAAAUUUCCUUUCAGAGGAACAUGCCUGAGCCAGAGCAGUCAGGAAAAAGUGGGUCAGCACUUGGCUUUUUUUUUUUUAACAAGUACACUCAUAUCCAGCGCUGUAUUUGGGCCCAGAGCCUACCUAGUAAGCUUGGCCUUUUUGAGGCUCCACCAUCCGGCCCACGUUCUGCCCAGAGACUGUGGGAAAUGAUCGCGCACCCCGGUUCAGGGAGCCGCGCUGGGCGCCCAGCGCCCGUGGAGCUGCGGUGAGGACGGAGCGCUCGUCCCCGGGAGCGGGAGCGUGGUCGCUGUCUGUGGCUGCCGUCGGGCGGCACAGGGUCGGAGGCUCAGCGCGACGCCAGUGACCUCCCAAUUGUGCAGUAUGACGCCCCGCGCUCCUGGGGAAGCCGUUUUCCUGGCGCUUUGGAGUUGUUGGUGGAACUCGGCUCCUGCAGGUACAGGACUGAGGCCCCGCUUCCUUGCCUGCCACCCCCAGCGGCCACGGCCCUCCGCUCUCAAGGCCGGACGCCCGCGUCAGUCCCCGGCACACGGCGAGUCUCUCCUGCCUUUUCUGUUGUCGCCUCCCUGACCGAUUCUGCCUCCCUCCCCCCCUUCCUCUUCUAGGGGGUCCUGUGCUUACACCGGGCCCGCCUGGGUAACCUGGAUCAUCUCCCAGUUCAAGGCUGCUAACUGGCCACAUCUGCCAAGUCCCUUUUGCCGUGCAAGCUGUGGGACCUUGGGAGUGGGAGUUCAUCUGGCUGAGCCUCCCUUCUGCAUCUGUAAGAGGGAGACCGCAGUGCUUACCUCCUCGGCCAGUUGUGAAGAUUAGACGCCUUCUGGCAUGGCAGGAGCUCCGCCCAGGCAGCACGUGGAAGGUGCUCUGGCUGCUGCUGGACUCCUACCCACCUGCCAGCAGGGGCCGAUUCAUCCCAUCACGUGCACUCUAAGCCGCUCUCACCUCUUUGAUCAACUCAGUAAGCAAUUCCUGAGGGCCUACUAGAUGCCAGGGCCUGUGUAGGGCUCUGCGAGGAAGCCUGAUGAAUCAGGCCUGGGACUGGCUCCCUGGGAGGGCACAGAGGGACACUUGGUCAACUGAUGCCCUGGGGUCAGUGCUGCAGGGGAAGAGCCACGUGGAGGGGCCAGAGAGGACAGCCACGGAGGCAGUACACCUCGAGACCACAGGCUGGGUGGAGAAGCUGCGGCAGGUGGGGAGCACCAGAGGAGAAGACGCAGCUGGAGAAAAGUGUGGAGGGCACGCCUCUUCCUCCAGGCCAGUGGGAAUGAGACCUGCUCCUCGGGCAGGAGUGAUCCCUGGAGAGCGCACAGUGUGCUCGGGACUCUGUGGAGGGAUGCCCUUGGCUGCAAGGAACAGGAAAACCCAUUGAAUGGCUUCAACAAUCAGGAUGUUGAUAGGUCACAUUACAAGAAGUCAGAAGUUAGGUCAGUUAUUUCAGGGGCUCAUCACUGUCAUCAAGAGUCCAGGAGUUUCCACCUUUGUGCUUGGCUGCACUCUGCAUGUGUCCAGUGUCUCUCCUGGCUGCAAGAUGGUUGCAGUAGCUCCAGGCAUUGCACCCUUAUAUAUCAAGCCCAGAGGCAGGGAAAAGGGGUUGUUCUAUCUUACAUCCCUUUUUUUUUUUUUUGAGAUCUAAUUCACAUAAGUAAAAUUAACCAUUUUAAAGUGCACAAUUCAGUAGUUUUUAGGAUAUAACCAUUUCUAAGUGUACAGUUCAGCGGCACUAAGUACAUUCACAUUGUUGUACAACUAUUAUCACCAUCACCUUGCAAACCUCAAACACUCUACUCAUUAAACACUAGCUCCACACACCUCCUUCGCCUUAGCUCACAUUAGUCCCUGGCAAACACCAUUCUACUUUCUGUCUUCAUGAACUGGAUGACUCUAAGGCCCCUUCCACUUCUAAAGGCCCUUGUGAUGACAUUGUCACAUGAGAUAAGAGGAUAAUCUCCCAAUGUUAAAGUCUAUUGAUUCGCAGCUCUAACUUAAUCUGCAACUUUAAUUCCCCUUUACCAUGUAACCUAACAUAGUCACACAUUCCUGGGAUUAGGCUGGGGGUAUCUUUAGGGGCAUAAUUCAGCCUACCUACAGUGUGAAGAGCUAGCAGGCACACCAACCUAUCUGUGGAGGCAUCUCCAGAUACCGAGGCGUUCUGCACACUCCCGGGGCAGCAGGGGCUGCAGCCCUCCAGAGCCUGGUCCAGGUGAAUUUAUGCUCUUAUUUUUUCACUUCUGAAAUGAAUCUACUUUAGUUGAUAUCUUCAAUAUAGAUUCAGGAGAGAAUCCUCAAAAAAGCGUAUUCCCAUGGAAAACUGAGAGCUAAGCUAGAGCCCUGUGUUCUGUCUCAAUGAGAAGGGAUUUCUCAUUAAAAAGCACACGGUUCAUUCCAUACGAUGGGAGGAGAUGGUCUCUGAAAGCAGCCCUGGUCAGGACAACUUAGUGCACUUGGAGAAGAAUUUCUCUAGCACUGUGGCUGUGGCAUUUUUAACCUGUUGAUUGAAAUAAAUUUUUUCAACAACUUUAAA